GAGUCACCUGACCUCAGUUCCCUUUCCAGUUCGUCGAAUUCCCAUUCACCAAUGUCUUCUGUUGAGUAGUCAAGACUCACUUUCCCGAAUUCUGAUUCCAGCUUCGCGAGCUCAGCGGCAGCAUCUACUGUCUGUUCUGCAUUCACUGCAGGUAGUACUUCCAGCUGCUUUCCAGUUUCGACUUUUGAGUUCUCGCUGUCUUCUGCCGAAGGUUGUGGAACACUACUCUGCGCCUCCUCUCUAGAUUCAUUUUCUGCUCUUGGAGGCGGAGUUUCGAUUUCUAGAUUGGGUCUCUCGAUAGAGUCAAAACUCUGCCGCAGUUUUUCAAUAUCAUCAAACAAUUCUUGAACUCUAGAAUCAUCUUUCCUGAAUUGAGGUUCCUAAUAAAUGCCUGACGGAGACAAAGGUAGCAAGGUAUCACAAGAAGCAGGACGACCAGAAAACCAACCAAAAACCAGCAUGUUAAGCAAUGUGGAAUAUACAAAGCCUAUAAUCAAUCUCUCCGGGCCUCCUAUUGGUCAACAUGGCUUGGAAGGAAUUCGCAGAUCUUCCAUUAUAAAGAACAGUGAUCUGAUAGUUUUUUUUUCUUAAUCUCUUACCUAUUUAGCCAUCAUUGGUGUAAAUUGUCUCCUCUGUUUGUAAUAAUAGCUUGACUGCUCGUAUUGCCAAUUGGAAAACUUUUUUGUAAGUUUCCUUAGGCAUGGGAUUUUCAUUCCCCCACAUUUUGUAAUUUCAUCUCAUCAAAUGUAAAAUAAGAACUAGUUAUGCUGC